ensembl:lncRNA
GGCUACUUGAGCAGGUUCACACAUCACACACAGUUAUGUGCAAACAAGUGUUGACUGGUAGAAGGUGAUACAGUAAACAACAGUCAAUGUUCUGGAAAAAAAAAAGACAUGAAGAUGGAUAAAUAAUUUAUAAAAGUAUAUCCAAUUAUACCUCAAUGAAUUAAAGUUUAAAAAGACUGUCCACACUCUCAGCGCCAGAUCGCUCAGAAGUACACAGUCCUGUCAUGACCGUUUCCAUGGUGACUUUUCAUUCACAUGACAUAUUUUUAAUUGCCACAAUUAGUUUUGAUAAUACCGUUACAAAAGUGCAUCAGAUAAAACACCAAAACUCGGUUUCCUUUUCAAUCCACACUCAGAUAUUCUUUAAACGAACGAGAGACACUUACUUUUGCACUGGAGUCCCUUGGUCACAGCAGGUCAGAAGGGCAACGGGAGCCGUCUGGAAUUACGUAUGUAUUCGAUACCAUCUCCAGCAGGGGAGAACGAAACUCCUGAACUCAAAAGAAGAAGCUCCUGCUGAGACAUAUUUUGUAAGUCCACGCCUGUAGAUGAGCUCACUGGGUCAGGCUCAUGUUUCAGCCUCGUACAGGAAUUCGGAGGGAAGGCGGAUUCUGUGAGCCUGAGAGACGGCUCGAGGAGAAGGAGCAGGUCGUGGGGUUGCGUCCCGCAGAACAAAGCGGGAGUUAUGAGGGUGAGGGGUCAGGCAUGCCGCAGGAUGUCAGCGCUCAGGGAGAAUGAAUCAGCAGAUGGACAUCCACAAUUCCCUUGGGUGACAGAUCUCUGAGGAGUAUAUCAAAAACAGGACUGGGAUUAGAUCAUAUACCAUGCUCUUAUAGUGCAACUUAUAUGAAACUACAGCGUCAUCUGAUAUCUUGUGAGUGUGUGUGAUGCCUACUGUAUACCCAUCUGUGUGUUGCUGAGUAAAGAGCAAAAUAUAACUCACAGUAGCCAAAGCCUUUCAACCCUUUCGAGCUUUGGUGAUAUUUGAUUUAUCUUUGCAAGCUGGAAUCCAAUAAGCUGCUAACUGAGCACAACAUGCUUCGGUUCCUGAUGCUUUAUGUUCUAAUGGCAUGAGGGGUCAUAACCGACUCUGCUCUUUAGAGAACAAAAGCUUUUCACACAUCAUGAGAUCUUCCUGUAUCUGCUUGACGCACAACCGUGGAGAGAAUAGCCUAUAUGGAUGAUGUUAUUGUAGUUUUUUGUGUUGAUUUGUUUUUAUAGGCUGACCAGCAGGGAUGAAAAACUGUGAUGUCACACAAAAAGCAAAUGGAGUUAUUAGAAAGUCAUGUUUAUCAGGCAUACUGUAGUGAAUAAAUACAUGGAGGUUCUUUCCUCA